rnacentral:tRNA from 1 species
GCCUGAAUGGCUCAGUUGGUUAAGCAUCUGAUUUCAGUUCAGGUCAUGAUCUCAUGGUUUGUGAGUUCGAGCCUCGCAUUGGGCU